GUAUUACUGGCUUUCAGUAAUUCAAGAUACACGUCCCCCCUCUCAUUAAUAUUUUUGGUGUAAUUCUGUACCAUUUUUAAUACUACAUUACCGACCCGAUUACAUACCGGAUGAACCAAACACGGUAAUCCUGACAGGAUUGCUCGUAAUCCUGUCAGAAUAACCUGAACCAAAUGCACUCUUAUGAGUAUAAAGCCCAUGAGUUGUUUUCAAUGAUGGAGCUUCUGAAUCAAUGAUUCACUCCGUUAAAUAUAAUCUAGAGUAUUUGAAAGUUCUAAAAAAUAAAUUUUGUAAUUUUUUGAAAUUAUAAUAAAGUCUAUCAAGCAGGUAAAAAAUGAACAAUUAAAAUCGAACGGCGUUCUAAAAAUAGAUGAUCAGAUCCUUCAAUUUCAUAUUAGAGUUAUUAAUCUUUAUCUAGAUAGUGAUUAAUCAAAAAUUCAAUCGAUUUCGAUUCUUUUACACUGUUAAACUAGCAAGUAUCUCAUAUUGGCUUUUAAAAUUAUUAAUUUUGAGAUUUUUUAAUCGUAAGGUAAAUAAUGUUAAAAAAAUAUAAAAUUUGAUUUCUACAAGUUUUAAAUACUCUAGAAAAUAUUUAACGGCAUGGAUUAUCGUUUCGAAAAUUUUAUUAUUGAAAACAAGAAUGUGAUAGUAAGACUAAAAAUAUCGGGUGCCAAAAAACAAAAAAUCACAGCCGUCCGCUACGGCUCACUCUCAUCAGAGAAUCAAAACCGUUCAUAACCCUCGCCUCACCAGGAAAAAAGAAACCCUAAUUCCACUCCGCCUCCACGCUCUCCCCCUUAUAUAAACCCUAAACUCCACGUCGAUUCACAGGCCCUCAGUUCCCUUAUUAAUGCUUCGCACAGGGUAAUGUAACUCUUUCUAGGGUUUUUCUUUUCCUUCUUUGUAUUAUUAUUAUUUUUUUAUUUUUAUAUAUAUCUCUCGUUCGGGGUUCUAAAUGAUGUGGAUUUAUCAAAAGGGAACAUCCCAAAAACCAAAAAAAUAAAAAAUUGGGGUGUGAUGAUAUUCCCCUUUAAUUGAAUAGGAAGAUCUGAUAGAUCCCCUUAUUAUCCCAUCUUCUUGUUUUCAGGUUUGUAGCUUUUGUUGUUGGUUUUUUUUAAAAAAAAUAUAUAUAUUUGGGUUUUUUUUUUUUUGAAUUUAUAGCAGCAGUGUGAAUGAUGAGAACAUGUAAAAUAUACAGUUAUCCCUGUCUGAUAAAUUCACAUGAAUGGGUGCUGAGAAAAAUACUCAAUCUGACACUUCUCUGCUGUUUAAUUUUUUUAUAUAAACUAAUUUGUUUAUGCUCUGUUGAUUAUGGUGAUUCUUCAAAUAUAAUUAAAAUUUUAUAUUAGUUUUUUUAAGUUUUUUAGAACAUUUUUAUGAAUUUUUUUUUAUAAUAAAUUGCCGAUGAUGACAUUGCGAGUGGCUGAACAGCAGGUUUAUUUUAUCUGCUGCAUCUUGUUGAAACAAAAUGCAAGAACUAGGACGGUCUGAGGCAUUGAUCUCAUUUUUUUUGUUAUAAUAAUAAUAAUAAUAAACAUGAAGUGUUAUUGGAACUUAUUAAGUUCCAAAAAUUGAGGUUUUAGGCUUCGUUUUAGAUGGGAACUUAUUACUUACAUUGUAAUUGCUCUGUUUUUUUAUAUUAAUUCUGUGGUUUCAUUGAACAAAACAGAGAAGCAUGUUUUUAUAUAGGGAUAAUAUCUUAAUAUUUUCUUGAACAUCAUAAAAACUAGGGGCAAUUUCAUCACUAGCCCUCUUAAACAUGUAAAUAUCACAAAUACUCCUAUAAAAUUAAAAAUAUCAUAUAUACCUCUUCAAAGGUAGAAAAAUAUCACAAUUACCUUUUAUUCUAACUGACGGUAGAGUAAAGUUAUAAAAUGACUAAUUUACCCCUUAAAAGUUGUUUGGGUUAUUCUUUUGAUAACAAAUAAUAGAGGAGUAAUUUCAUAAAUACCCUUCUAAUUUCUAACACUAAUUAUUGGUGGAUAAAAUAAGUGGAAACCCCUCACCUAUAGGUCAUUUUGAAAUAUACCCCCUUAACUUCAAUUUUUUAACAUUUAGAGAGCCCUUUAACUUUUAGUUUUUUUUUGUUUUUGCGUUUUACUUAGUUAAAAGUUUUUCAAUUGAGAUCACUCAUACAUGAAUUUGAUAAAAUUUUUAACUUAGUUGGAAAAAAAAAAUAUUCAAUUGCAAAAGUAAAGAAUCACUACAGUUGAGAGGAUGUAUAUAUAUAGAGAGAGAGAGUCAGGCUACUAUACUCUUAUGAGUGUGAUCGCCUUCUUACUCAUAAGUCGUUUUUAAUAAUAAAGCUUCCGAAUCGACGAUCCAUAACGUUAAAUAUUAUCUAGAAUAUUUAAAAACUUCAAAAAAUCAAAUUUUAUAAUUUUUUUAUAUCAUUACGAUCAAAAAAUCUCAAAAUUGACAAUUUUUAAUGGUCAGUAUGGGAUACUUGCUAGUUUAAUGGUGAAAAAAAAUCGGAAUCAAUUGAAUUUUUAAUAGAAAAUUUUAUUUACUAUCUAGAUAAAGAUCAAUAUAGAGAUUUUGACAGCUCAUUUUAUGCCCACUUGAUGGACGUUAUUAUGAUUUCAAAAAAUCACAAAAUUUAUUUUUUAAAAAUUGCAAACACUCUAGAUCAUAUUUAACAUAGUAGAUCGUCGAUUCGGAAGCUCCAUUAUCGAAAAAACUUAUGAGUACAUAGGGCUCUAUACUUAUAAAAGUAUUGUAGCCCUACUUUUAUAUAUAUAUAUAUAUAUAUAUAUAUAUAAUUUAAAGUUAAGAUCAUGUUGAAGUGGACUAAUAGGUGAGAGGGUCUUCAUACAAUGUUACUUUUUUUGUUGACAAUAAAUGUUCAAUUAGAAAACUGUUGCUUGAGCAGGUCAUAUGAAAAAUACUCUAAUAUCAAGAAUUUUGAUAUCAAAAUAUUUUUAAUUUGACUUAUGUGAGUUAUUUAAAUAAAAUUCAAAAAAAAAUGUUGAAAUAAUUAAUGUUAAAUACUACAAUGGAUAAUUGCAUUACAACUAUUAUAUAAUUUAAAAGCGAAAAUCAUAACAAUAUUUAAUUAUUACACUUAAUAGAUUGUAGAUUUUUAAUUGUAAAAUUUUAAAGAGAAUGUUGAAUUAUUAUGUGAUUGAAAGGUUAAGAAUUAAUCAUAUAAUUAAUCUUAAAUUAUUACACUUAGUUAAAUUAGUAAUAAGGGUAAAAUUGGUAUUUAAAGAAUUUUAGAUGACUUUUUUAACGGAAUGUUAGUCUUAAUGGUAUUUGUGAAUAUUUUUGCUUUUUAGAGGGGUAUUCUUGAUAUUUUCUAAUUUAGAGGGGUAUUUAUGAAAUUACUGUCUCCUAGAGGGGUAUUGAUGAAAUUAUCCCUAAAAACUAUUGUCUGAUAUAUUUUUGGUAGAUCAAAAUGCUUUUGUUGAGUUUUAAAAAUUUGUUCAAAUAUUUUCCUAACUCUAGAGUUUACUAAUGAGAUUUGGAUUUUAGAAGGGUAUUUUGAAAAUAUUGUGAUAAAUUUAAAAUUUUUGAAUAGUAAUGAGGGGUAUAUAAGCAAAAUUAAAUUGCUUCAAAGGUGGGGUUUUGCAUUACUCAUUAAACUGGACUUAACAGUUGAUUUAUGCCAAUAUCACUCCAAACACCCAGUAAGUAUGAAAACACAACAACAUUUUCAAACAUGCAUGCAUGGAGCCCUUAGAUAUCUCUCGAUACAACAUAACUCAAGUGUAGUAUUUGAGGUUUUUUUUUUGGCUAAAUUACAGAAAAUCUUUCUGUAAUAACCCGCUUUUUAACUUUCCCCUCCUGACAUUUAAAAACCUACACUUUAUUCCCCUGUAAAAUAAAAAUUGUUCACAGGGGGGUUACGGUGUGUAAAAUGACCAUUUUGCUCCUCGCCAUUGUCGUCUUCUUCCCCAUCUUCCUCAGCCGCCCAUUCGUUCGGCCGCGAUUCUCACCUCAAUCAGUCGCGAUUUCUCUCCAUUUCCUUCUCCACCUGCUCUCCUUCUUCUCCUGCACCCUCGCCGCCCUCGGGAGAUGGCGGAAGGGUAUUUUCGGCACCCUGACGGAAUCCUAACGGUAGGGGGUAAAGUGCACAUUUUUUAUUUUACAGGGGGGCAAAGUGUAGGUUUUUAAAUCUCAGGGAGGGAAAGUGAAAAAGCGCGUUAUUUUAAGGGGGUUUUCUGUAAUUUAGCCUUUUUUUUUGUGUAGUUUUUUUUUUUCCCUUUUUCAUUUUUAUGUAACUUAUAGUCAGAAAGUUAAAUUCACUCAAUUUUUUUUUAUUUGUUUUCGAGUAAUUUGAUACUAAUAUAAUUAGUCAAAAAAUCUCGUUCCCUUUUAUAUAUAUUUGUUAACCUCUCCAUAAAUCCAACCUAUUAAAUAACUAAAUUUUCUGUUAUUGUUUUAGAGUUAAUCAUGAUCCAUUGUAAAGGAAGUGGAGCUUAAGUUUUAAUAUUUAAUCAUAUUUUUUAGAGAGAGCUGUAUGUGGUGGAAUUUGAGUUUAGUACUCUAAAAAAAAAAAAAAAAAUCAAGAGAGUGUGAGCUGAAAUCUUGUGUAACUUAAGUUAUAUCAUGUUUCUAAUUUAUGCCAAAAUAAUCAAUAAAACUGAUGGAAUUUGAAUUCCACUCCACUUACGUGCAAAAAUGCAGCAACAUGUUGCCAACAUGUGUACAUGAAAGAAGCUCCAAAAUUAGGGGAGGGGUACAAUUCAGUGUUUAGGUACAUAAUUUGAAGUUCGAUCAUUAAAUUAUAUAAUUUGAAAAUUAUUGUUGGAUUUUUUUCCCAAGCAGAGCAUCAUUCAUGUGUUACAGCAAACCAAUCACAGAGAAAUCUAUUUUCAUUUUAGAAGAUUGCUGUAAAGGUAUAUUAAUUGAUCGGUAUUCAGGAUACAAAAUAGAGAGAAUAGGAGGAGGAAAAUAAAUUGUUUACAGAACGCAGGUAGUAGAGAAGAGUGUCCUCAAAGAUUGAGAAACAUGCUAAUGUGGAUGUACGACUUCAUUAUUUUUUUUUAAGAGGUAGGUAGCACGCUAUCCGCUUCAUUUAUUUCAUUUAAAAAUAAAUUUAGCUAGAAAUGUGAAUCAACUAGGAUUCGAACUUGGGCCUCGGGUACCAAUCAUCAAGCCCUUUGCCACUUGCUCUAGGGACGACCGGUAUGUACGACUUUAUUAACCUCGAGUGGGAUCCGAUGAAAGUACGACUAACUGAUUCGAAUGUGGAGUAAGGAGACUUGCGGUCUAGAAGCAUAUCAACCAACCAACAUGAGAACUACUACCACGAACAACUCCAGAGCACCGAAAGAACUGCGAGUUGCGCGGAAAGACCAGCAGGACGUCACGGAGUUUCGAUCAGAGUAAGAACGCUAUAAUGAGUGGUACAGAAAAAAUAGACAUACUGAGCUCAUCUUAGCUCACCGAUUCUGACGACAAAAUGUAAAUGUAAUAGUGAUAAGAAAUAAAGGAUGACAAUUACGAAAUAAAAAUGAGAGCGGAGAUCCCAGCUCGCCAGGGAAGGGGUGUGAGGAACAAAUAGUCAAUUUGAUAAGAACUUAUUAAGAUAAAAAAAAAAAACAUAAUCACAGAGAAAUCUAUAGGAAGUCACAGUAUUAACCAUUUGGUUAGAGGAAAUUAUCAAUGAAGCAUAAAUGGAUACAGUUGAAAAUACAAACAUUUUAUAUGCAUUUUAUUUGAUUGGAGAAAGUAGGAAAUACUAUAUGUAUAAAAAAUCUAUUUGAUAAUAUACAGUUAAGAACUAAUUUUAUAAAUCUGGUCAAUUUAUAUAUCGGAGGGUGAAAUUAUCCAAAUACAGAAGAACAAACUAUUUCCUAUUAAAAUGGCGAUUACAGAGAUAAGCUUACUCUUUUUAAAAUACUAGUGUAGAAACCCGCGCGUUGCGGCGGGUAGGGAGCAUUGCAAAUAGUCAAUAUAUUUUCAUUCUACUUUCUUCAUUUCAACAUUUUUUGCAUCGUUUCAAUUGUUUUGGCAUAAGUCUGAAAGUAAGUUAGAAAAAUAGAAAAGAUCUAAAAAUAUUUUAGUAAAUAAUUUACAAAUUAAAAUUACUUUUCUAUAUUGUUUGGAUUUGCUCUAUGAUGCAUCGCCAAAUUAUUUAAAAGUAAAGAAAAAGUCAUAUAGAUCAGGACACAAACAUUUCAUAUGAACAAAAAAAAUAUUUCGCCUGAGAAAUACACAUACUUGACCAAGUUUGAUUUCUCUCCUCUUUGAAUUGCAAAGAAUAUGAAUGUCACAUAUAACAAUGCAGUUAUUAUCUUGAUUGAUCAAAGCUGAAAAAAAAUAAAAGAACUAUAUGCGAGCAUCCAUAUAAUUGUGCAAUAUAUAAUUAUGUAGCAAAGAAAUAAUAGGGCAAAGAAAUAACAUAUAGCAAUCAUAAAAAUACAAUAUAAAGAGUCACAUCUGAGAUAUGCAAAAAAAAAUUAUGCCAAAAAGUGGCUCAUGUGCAGAUAGUAUUUAAAAUUGAAAUACAAAAAGGCAUAGGAGUAAAAAUACUCAUGAAUGGUUCAGAAAGGCAACAUAGCUAGCUGCUGAGUUCUAUAAAAUCGGAAUUGCUAUUUUAACUCAUAGUAGGUUCUGAUAACAGAAAGCAUAUAUUGGGCCUAACCAAAAGAAAAAAAUGUUUAAGAAGAAAUCUCAAGUACCUCUCAGGAAUGUAUUCGGAACCAUUAAAUCUCAAUCUUUUAGAAUCAUUUUUAAACUGUACAAUGAUCAAAAUCCUAGAUAAGAAGAGUGCGGUCGUAUAGGAGCUUGAUGUGAUGGGGAAAGGCGGUCGUAUAGGAGCUUGAUGUGAUGGGGAAAGGCGGGCUGGCGCACUACGAAGGAGCGGAAGAAGGGCGACGCAAGUAGAGAAAGCUAUGUUCAACAUACGUUCUCAAUUAAUAAAUCAAAAUGCUCAUCAUCUAUGGUUGUCCCUAACUAUUUUUUUCUCCCUUCAGGCCAAAUCUUCCUAAAUAUGAACCUACUAAAACUACAUACCAUUCCCAAUUCUUACAGAAACACUACACAUACAGAUCUACUAACCAGAUCAACUAACCAACAAAGCAUAAAAAAUAUCUCAUAGAUCUAUAUCAAAUAUCAUGAUGAGCUCAAUAAUCACUAAAUUACUCAUCGGCGGAUUCAAAUUCCUUGAGAAUAAGCAGAAUUGUCUCUAAAGACAACCCUAAUUGAGAAGGGCACAAUCAGUUUACAAAGUCACAUGAUUGCUAGUACUAUCAGUGCAAAAUAUGGCGUCAAACUGGACAGUACAAAAUAAUUUUAAGUAUAAAUAUUGAAAUAUAUUAUUAUGCAUGAAACACGCAAUUCCUAAACGAUAUCAAUCAGUUCUGAGUAGUUCACCCUAUAGGAAAAGAAGAAUAUGUAUAAGAAAUCAUAAGAAUCAAUCCAGAAGAAAAGAAAAAUACAAAUUCUUGAGAUACUUAAGCAUAGCAAACACAACAGAAAGGUUCUAAAGUUCCAGCACUCCAACUGCUUUUUAAAACCUUAAGCCUAUCGCCGAUCCCAGUGCAAAUUUACAAAAGCAUUAAUUGAUGCAAAAAAGAAUUUCUGAUAGUCCAAGUCAAUAGCGAAAUCGUUGUACAACCUCACCUACUUAGUUACAGCACUGAUGUACUCAUAUUUACUUAUCCAUUAAGUAGUCCAUGUUCUAUUUAAAAAAAAUAUAUCAUUUCAAGAUAUCAAUUUUUAAGCCAAUCCAAAACCUCCACAUUUCAAGAUGUUAGUUUUAAGCAGCGCAGCCUCAUUUAUAUCGAAUUUUUCAAAUUAAAACAUAUACAAAUGCAUUAAAAAGGACUCUUGAGAACCACUAAUUAGGCAAUCACCACGGUUUUUUAAGCAUCAUUCCUAAAACCCACAUGAACUGCAACCAUGGUGAUCACAUAAACCCCAAAACCUAAAACCGUGCCACAUUAAUUAAGGAAUCAAAUAAAAAAAGGAAAGAAAAUACAUUGCCUCAUGAAUUGGAACCCCAAAUUAGAAAAGGAUAUAUAUCGGCAAUGUAUGGCGCAAAUCGUUUCCGAUCUCACACCUGCAAACAAAAAUAAUAAUAAUAAAAAGACUUAAAUUCAACUAAAAGAGAAUUAGGGAUCAAGAAACAAAGCAUAAAUUGAUACAAAGCACAAAUUCAAGAAACAAAGCAUAAAUUGAUACAAAAAUUAAUGAAGAGAUCACACAUGAUAGGGUUUUUAGGGCAAAGACUGACACGUGAGGAGGAUUAAAAACUCGCAAAUCUUCGACAUGGAGGCCGAGAUCGAGAGAGAAGAGUUGGGGGCUAGAGUUAGAGUUCGACUCACCCGACGUUGGCGUCGUUGUCAGCGUGGUGGAGGAGGCGGAGGCGGAGGCUCAGGCGGAGGAGAGGUGCUGGGCCGUCGCCUCUGUCCGCGGCGGGGAGGAGAGGUGCUGGGUCUGGGCCUUGACGCGGAUGUGGUGAUCGGAGAUGUUGAGGAUGAGGGGAGAGGGAAAAAAUGUUGUAACUGAAGGGGAAGAAGAAAUAACGUAUAGGAAGGAGAGGAAGUGCCAUUGCCGUUUGAGAAACCAAAAUGGGGAGAGAGCGAGACGGUUUGGUUCGGUUCGGAGGUUACGUAGGAAGCGGUUCGGUUCAAAAUAUGGGAAGUGAGAGAAGAGAGAAGCGGUUCGAUUUAGAGAGGCAGUAGAGAGACGGUUCAACUUAAAAGAGACGGUUCGGUUCAAAAGAGAGGUUGAUGAGGGUAAAGGAGAAAUUGGGUUUAGCUUAAAAGAGAUGGUUCGGUUCAAAAAAGAGGUUGAGACGAUUCGGUUCAAAAGAAAGGUUGAUGGGGGUGAAGGAGAAAUUGCCACGUGGCAAAAGUAUUGGAGAUUCAUAUAGUUUUAUAGAUUCUCUUCGAAUGCAAUAGUUGAGCCAUUUCGGGCACUUCCAACUACAGUAAUUAGAUUCAAAUACAUCAAACUGUAGUUGCAAAUAUACUACAAUAAUAACUAUAUGCAAAUUCAAAUCCGUUUGAUUUGAUAGACAUACAAUUAAAAUACUGUAGUUAAAACUGCAUGAAAAGACUUAAUUGCACCAAGCAAGUGAAAUAAUAACACCUCAAUUGGCUGCACUUGGAACUGAAUGAAAAGAGCUUAACUGCAGUAAUUAAAACAACAUUUAAAUUGGCUACCGUUCCGACUGCACCAAUUGAAAAUAGUAACUAUAAAUAAAAAAUAAGCUUAUCUCUCUAAUAACCUUCUAAAUAUUUUUUUUUUUUUCAGCAUAAGAGAUAAUCUGGCUACUAUAUAAACUUUAUAAAUACCAUUCUCAACUAUAUAUAACAAAACAAAUUAUUUAUAACUAUAAUAUUUUCUACUACAUUCUCUCCGAAAAAAAAAAAAAAAAUCUACUACAUCUAAUAUAAUAAAAUAUAUAUAAUUAUAAUUACUGCAUGCAUUUCUAAUUACACACUAUUUACAUUCAAUGAAACGGCCCCCUAAAUGUUACCAAACAAUCUCUAAUAAGUAAAUAACUAAACAUGGCACCUCUGAUUAUAACCAAUCGCAUCUCAGUGACUGGUCUACUCCAUGGAAUCCUAGAACACCCACUUCCCAGACGGCAAAAUCAACUCAGUUAUUUCCUGAUGAUGCAGAAGUAUCAUUUGAGCCACUAAUUUUCAUCACUUGAAAUGUAAAAUAUGCACAACUUAGGGCAUAGAUGCUACCCAUUUUCCCAAAAAAUUAACCAGCACUACAAAGUUUACCUUUUCAGAGGUCACUGAGACACAACUUCUCUGAAAAGCUUUAACUAUUCAACAGGAGGAAAAAGAAAUUCAUAGUAGAAACUUUGCUCCCUCUUCUUCCUCACAUUCUGAAUAUAAACCUAAACCAAGAGCCGUAUCAUUUUAUAGUGAUAUACCGAUUCGUCCCAUGCUUAGCCCAGUGGUCUUUGAGGUCGAUUGGCAUAGAUAGAUCGUACCCCUCUGCCGCCAGCCGGCUGAUCAGCUUCUUGAACACACUGCCGCUCAUCUUGCGGCCGCCCACGCGGGCGUGCCUUUUGUUGGGCAUCACCGGCAGUGGGUACAUGGACAGCGUUGUGGUGCAGCAGGCCGACUGCCACCCGCCGUCCCCCCACUUGUAGCAGGGCUGAUACUUCCCCGUGCAGGAGCAAACGGGUACUGGCAUCGUCGACUCAUCAAACACUACCUGGUUCAGCCCCAGAUCCUGACCUUUCCACUCAUGGUGCUUCGCCCCCAGCCUCGCGACUGUCACCUGCUUGUUAUUGAAAUGCUCGCCUCCGACCUUUCUACUCUUCUUCUUCGACGGUUUCUUGGAUGGAGAAGCAGAAGCUUGAACUUUGGUGGGGUCGUUCCUCCCCCGCUUAGACUUGUGGGACGACUUUGCUGCAUCGCCAUCUGGAGCAGUCGACAUGGGGAGUGCUUCGUGGUCAUUGUAAUACCCAUCGGAAUAUUGAGGUUGCUGCUGGUAGUGGUGGUGCUUUGCUGCUCCACGGGAAGGAGGGAAGCAUUCGGGCCCACAAUUGUUGCCAUUCACGCCGUUCUCGCGAGCAUAUUGAAGGGCAGAGAGGGCAUUGUCGCGCUCGAUGAUGGCAGUGUUCCGCUCGGUGAUCGCAGCAUCGCGCUGGAGGAAUGCCAUGUCGCGCUCAGCCUGUGCAGCUUUCUUCUCUGCAAGAGCUAUGUUGCGUUCUCGAAUGGCCUCGUCCCGCUCGGCCACGAGAGCCAUGAUCUUUAUGUUUUCCUUCAGCUGAUUCUGAUUCGUCAUCCACUGUGUUACCAAUAAAAAAAGAGACCGCAGUUAGAAGUACAUUUUAAGGCAGAAGAAAUCUGGCUGGUGGUUCUGACUGUGUUGUUUAUCAGCCAAAAUUAUUCACAUGCAAGUCAGAAGGUUGGAUUAACAUUGUUAGUGAGCAUUUUUAAAAGAUUUUGCUUUUCAAAAGCCUUUAUGCAUGGGAGUCAAAACGGAAGAUUUGCUAGUAUACUUGAUCAUUUAUGUUGCCAGAGGUUAGGUUCUUUUCAAAUAUGAGGUUCUGUGAUACGUCAAAAUAUAAUAAAAGAAUAUGAAGCAAAAAAACAUUAUGGAUGUUAUUCAGAUAUUUCCAGUUGUAAUAGCAAAGGGAGAUAAAACAUGUUAGCAGUUAGCACCAAGUGCAGCGUCAAACAAGGAAGCUGCUAUGAACUAAAACUAGAUUCUAUUCAACGCUAUGUUUCCCAUUGUCACCUUAGAAAGGCAUGGCUACGGAGAAGUAACAAUGCAUCUAAACCACACAUCACCUUCUACAGUUCUAACUAAAGACAAGUACAAUAAAUGUCAAAUAAAAACAAAUGGCCACCUAUGCUGGACCCAAUCGUUUGACUAGCCUUGAAACAACAAAAUUGUUAUUAUACUACCUACAGUUUAGCACUGCUCAGCAAUAAAGGUAAUAACUUUUUCUUAAUCUUGCAAUGAACAAUUCUGUAUAUCCAAAACAAUCAAACAAGUUACAAAGUAUAGCUGAAACCAUCCUAAAUUUAACCAACAAUGUUUUACUGCUGAGAUAUAUAGAUCCAUAAUUGUCAAUAUAAGAAGCUAAGUAGGAUUUAGCUAACUAGGAUUUAGCAGAAUGGAUGAAGUAAACAGUAUGUAAUUAGGGAUUACGUCAGAUUUCAACUUUGAUGAGCUAACUGGAAUAAGAUCUGGCUAUGAAGGGAAUAUAAAACUACAUGUUACAAAAAAUCUAAUCUGAUUACAUUAUCUAAGGCGUUUUUUAUUUUCUCGAGUAAAGCUAAGGUAUGUUGGAAGCAGAAACUAGUGGGCAGUUUAAGGAAGUAAAGAAAGCUAAGAACAAAAGGAAAAGAAAGGUUGGACAUCUUAACAGGUAGACUGAUAAUGAUUCAUUUAUAAUAUCAACCAAAAUUGAUGCUAUCAAUAAGAAGUACAAAGGAACACUUAAAGGAUAAACUAAAACAGGAUAGAGACUCAAUCAAAAAGGACAGAACACUUUGGUAUUCAUACUAGAACCUAGAAGCUCCUUGUUUUAUCUGACUAUACAAGAUAGAAUAACUAUACCAAAGAGAAGAAAAAGAGCAAAGAAGCCAGAUACACUCAAGUACUAGUGUUGUCAAUACCUGCGCAUGAGCUGUCUUAUAGUGAUCAGCCUUGUGCCUACUGCUCUCCCUUUGUCCAUUGUCAUCCAUUUUCAAACCUCCACAUACACUUCAGCUUAGUCAGAGUGCGAAACUUCAGAUGCCUACAAAAUUCUUCAAAAGCAUAUCACAAGUUAGAUGGCGGAAGACCACGUUUUGGGUUUGUGCAAAAUGAAUGAAAGAGAGAUGGAAACAAAUACUAUAAGAUUAUAACUAUAUGUAGAUACAACACUACAUAUUAUGCAAAAAACACUAACUACUUCAGACAGGAAAGCACUCAUGAAAAGUAGAUAAAAUUGUGAACAAGCAUUAAACAUGUUUAUAAGUGAUUGAUGUAUAAAAGUGACUAAUAAAUAUUAAAUUGCAGGAUAAUUCUUAGCAACAGAGCAUCUAAAGAAGACCAAUCAAAGUGUGUUCUGAUGAACCCGAAAAAAAAAAAGAAAAAGAAAAAAGAGAAAGCCAGGAUAUAAAAAUUUUCAGAUAUCUCAGCUAAAUAAACACACUGUAUCUUGGAUUUGAAUACUUUACAGAUAAAUCAUAACAACUGAUGUAACAGAACAAUCCUCACAAGUUAUUGUCCAAAUUUACUGUCACCGUAAGUUUCAAGUGACUGGCUCUCUAGAUCUCCGUGAGCCACAUAUAAUCACGUUCUAACAGGGAUAGAUAGCAAUGUACGCAUUACUCUUUGUUUACUUGGGAAUAAGUGGAAUUAGCAAAUAGGUGAGAAAGCCAUUGUACUUCACAGGGACCUUAGACUGAGUGAAGUAUAACCUGUAGGAACUGAAUACAUGUUGAACUACUCAAUGACCUGUGUAGUUCACCACUUCUCUAGCAAGCAAAUAACAUAAGGAUAAAGACCAUCUACUCAUAAUAUAGCGAAACCCACUCACCGUAGCUAGCAUUCGGUUGAUAUGCCAUUAAACACUUUAAUUGGUUAAAAAAAAAAAAGGAAAGCUCAACAUUUUUGCAUAUCAAUGACCACUAGAUCUUCAGUUCCGCAUAUUUGCAUUUUAGCUGCCGCGACAUGGCCUCUGAAAUUACUCGAAUAGUAGAAAUCCCCCUUUAAUCAAAGUCUCUUGACAUUUAUCGCCCAACACCAUCUACUGAAGUAGCCCACUGGACAAUUACAGUGAUCGGGACUCUGAAACACUAGAAAAGACUCUUCUGCUCGCAUCCAAAUUACUGAAUUAGCUGGUUAUAGAGAGAAAAUAUCAUCUUUGUACUAAUAUAGCAGCAAGAUCCCUUUUUGGCGUUCAACAAACCUAUCCACAACAUAAUCAGAUUACAUGAAAUGGAUGCAACAUCUUCAGGAAGUGCGCAACUCAUCGGAACUACACUCUCCACUUAGUAAUAAGCAGCAUUAGGUUAACACACACACACACACACAAAACCAUGAAGGAUUCACGAUAUCUAGCUCAAAAACGUCGCCCAAAAACCCAGAAAUUGAGAUUAAACUAGCUCUAGGAUCAAUAUCCUCAUCAAAACUACCUUUGAGAAGCUGCAACUAGAAGAGAUGGAGGAAUCGAAGAAGAUAACAAAGGAAGCAAACGAAUUUAGGGCACAAUUUAGCUAUUGGAGAAGAGAUUUGGGUAUUUUACCUCUGCGAAGCUUGAUGAUCGAAGAGGAGCGAAUUGGAUCUCCUCAAAACCCUAAUUCUCCUCCUCCUCUUCUUGUUCGCCCUACUCCAGCUUCGUGGAUCGUAGCACCAUUGUGUCGGAAAAUUUCCUUUUCUUUUUCUUCAUUCCACUUUUUUCUUAAUUCUCCUUUUAUUUAUUUUUCUCACACGCUUCUGAGCAGUGGGGCCCGCUCCCCUGGCUCAGGAUAAUAGCUGUUGAUUGAGAUUAAUUAACCGCUGAAAAGGAUGAUUUGUAGAUAAAGCAUUUUCGCGGGUAAAAAUGGAAAAGAGUUGAUUAGAAAUUUAGGUGGGAGGGAGCAAAUUUAAAAAAAAAAAAAAAAAUUUAAAUACUAACACUAUAGUUUCGCACACUUUUAUUUUAGUAUCUCGUGGUUUAACAAUAAAAUUUUUAAAUAUAUAUUUUAAAAAGUAAUAAAAAAAAAUAUUUACAUAAAAAUUUUCUAUACUUUAUCGUGACUAUAACAUUGAUUGCUAAAUUUAUACUAAAGUUUUGAUAGGCUAAAAUUUUUUAUUGAAUUGAAUCAUUCCUUCCACAUCAUUUCAAAAAAAUGAGUUAUUUGAAGGACGAUCGACGCCAUUCAAAUAUAACUUAUAUUAUUUAUACUUUUAAAUUUUAUAAUUUGCUAUAUUAUUUACCUAGUAUCAUGUGUGAUCGGUUAGUCUGAAACUUAUUUUAUAUUGGACAUUAGAAAUUGGUAAUUCUAAUAUCACUUGAAACUAUGUAAAUACUGUUGAAAAGUUCAAAAUUAGAUUUUUCCAUAGUUUAAGUUUAGGUGUAUUGAUUGUCAAUUUGAAUAACUUAUUGUCGAAAAAUAAUGAAAAAAAAUAAUUUUGUUUACUUUUUUUUUUAAAAAAAAACUUUGUUGUGUACAAUUAAAUCAAUAUUCUUGGAUAAUUCAAAAGAGUAAUAUGCAAGUGAAUGUUAAUUAAGAAAAGUUUCAUACAAAAUAUUAGGAAUAGUUUUUGAGUUUAAAAAGAGGUUAUGAAAAAGAAAUAUAUGGUUAUUAAUAUUGGAUAGAGCAAAAAUUAUUAUGGACAAAAUUUGAUCUGCAUGAAAGGUAUGGAAGAGAGAAAAUUUCAGUUUCAACUUUCAACUUUCAACUUCUAUUUUCAGCAAAAAUAAAAAAAAAAUAAAAAAUAGUUUUUUUUAAAUAUAAUAUAAAAGAUUUUAUUAUUGAAAACUAUUUUAAUGGAUGGAAGUACAUAAUUUUUCAAACCUCAAAAACUACUAUUAUGACUCUUUUGUAUGGAACCAAACACUACUAAAAAAAAGUUUAAAAAUAUACGCCAAAACUUAAGAUUAAAAUUUACAUAAAAAUAACUAUUUUUAAAAACUUUGUGGUAAAUUAUGUAUUUACUUAAAUUAGGAAUGUCAACAGAUUGGAUUUAAGGCGGAUUUUCAAAAAUCCAAAUCCGGACCCGACUCUAAAUCCAAAAUCCAAAAUCGAAUCCGAAUCCGUUGAAUUUUAAAAAUCCAAAUCUGAACCCGAUAAAAAAUUUAAAAUCUAUAUCUGUCAAAUUUUAAAAAUCCAUACCCAAAUUUUGACCCAAAAAUUCAAAAUUUGAACUCAAGCCCAAACCCAAAACUCUGAACCCAAAAUAAUCAUUUUUUUUGUAAUAUUUUAAAAUAUAUUACAUUAAAUUUAAAAUUUUAAAGUAUAAAUUUAAAUAUAGUAUCAAAUAUUUAUAUAAUAUAUACAUAUUAUAUAUAAUGUAAAAUAAAUACGGUUGCGAGUUGGAUUCGGGCGGGCGGGUUCGGAUCGCAUACAAUUAAAAUUCAUGCCCAAAUUCAAAUCUAUCAAAUUUUUAUUUUUAAUAUCUAUAUUUAAAAUUAUAUUUAUUUAGUAUUAAUAAAUUUACUCUUUUCGAAUUUGAAUCCGAAUAAAACUAUUGGUAUCCGUAUUCGUUAACCUCCUAACUAUGAAAAAUUCUAGAAUGCAACGGGUAUAUUAGUGACGUGGCGUAACAAAUCAAUCAAAUUAAUCCUUUUAAGAAUAUAUGUCCCAUCAUGAUUGUAAAAAAAUAUUUUUAUUAUACUUUUGUUUGAAAAGAAGGAAUGUGAUUAGUUUGUUAUUGAUGACGUGGUGCAAGUGUGACAGUGUAGAAUUCCUCCCUAACUAUCGUUCGUGGAGUAUCACUCAAAAAAAAACAAACAAACACACACACACACCGAACCUUAAUCAUACGGCAGAGGAGAUCCCUUAAAAUCAACGGUCAGGAUGAAUUAGUUAGAGCCCGAGCAACCGCACCCGUAUCCACGGUCUCUCCCGAUACGAACCAAUCACAAAUCCCCAAACCCCCUCCCACGGCUUCCUUCGUAAGCUUUAACAUCCACCGUCCAUCUCGACGGUCCAGGAGCCUCACAGCGCUCGAUCCGUGUGCCCCCCGCUGCGACCAAUCACAGCUCGUCGUCUCGCUAUAUAUACCGCCCCACUCCUCGAACUCCAUUUGCAUAUAUCGCAUCACCCCUACGCCUCGUUUCCUCGUUUGCGUUUCUCCACCGCGAUGCCCACCGCAGCAGCGAAGCAGAAGCAGAAGCCCACCGCGGCUUCUCACCCCCCGUACUUCCAGGUACGCAAAAUCCAUCUCGAUCUCGUUUUCACGAGCGUUUCUCUCUCUCAGAAUUUGAAUUUCUUGUGAAUGAUCGGCGUAACCUGUGGUUUGAUGAUGAAUCGAUCGUGUAGAUGAUCAAAGAAGCGAUCCUAGCGCUCCGCGACAGGACCGGAUCGAGCCCGCAAGCGAUCGCGAAGCACGUUGAGGAGAAGCACGAGGGGCAACUCCCCGCGAACUUCAGGAAGAUCCUCUCCAUCCAGUUGAGGAGCUUCGCCGCGAAGGGGAAGCUCGUGAAGGUGAAGGCCUCGUUCAAGCUAUCGGAAGAAGCGAAAAUGGAGAAAAGCGCUUCGGAGAAGCAGAAGCCGAAGGAAGCUUCUGCGGUGCGAAAGACGAAGAGUUUGGGGGCUGUGAAGUCGCCGAAGAAGGCGGUGAUUAAGACGAAGAGGAAGGCGGUGUCGCCGGCGAAGCCGAAGCAGCCGAAGUCGAUCAAGUCCCCUGCGGCGAAGAAGGUGAAGAAGAAGAAGGGUAACGCGUGAGUUUACGGGGUAGUUUGGUAGUUCGGAAUCUAGGGUUUGUAGGGAUUACAUAUGGGGUUAAGGGUUGUUUGUUUCGUUUUGUAUGUAAAUAUUUGUGCUGCAAAGGUGAUUAGCAAAUAUAUCUAUAUAUAUAUUUAUACAUAAAAAGCCUUCAAUGUUCGUGAGAAUUUCAUUGUGAUUCUUUUGGGACGGGUUUAUGUAUUUGGGCUUUCUCAUAUACAAUCAUCAUCGUAUGCAAAGAGCAAUCCUAUAUAAAGGAUUUGCUUAUUGCAAAGAGCAUUUUACAUAUACUUAGGGGAUGAAACAAUAUUGAAGGUGAAUGGUUAGUAAAUUUGUAUUAUUUUAAAUUUUUAAUUAUUAAAUUUAAAAUUUAAUAUUAAAUUUUAAUUUUUUAAUCUAAAUAUUUAUUAAACUUACAUUUAAAUUAUGAAAGAUUAUGUGAUGAACAAAAAGUUUGAUAUAUAAUAAUUAAAUAAAUAUUAAUAUAUGUGGUAUUAAGAUAAUCUUAAAAUAGUAAAAAUAAAAUAAAAUAAUAUUUAAUUAAAACAUAUUAUUAAAAAAAGGAAAGAAGAAUUUAAAAUAUCUUUUAUUUACUUAUUUUGUAG
rnacentral:lncRNA from 1 species